rnacentral:rRNA from 1 species
AUUGAACGCUGGCGGCAGGCCUAACACAUGCAAGUCGAACGGUAACAGAAAGCAGCUUGCUGCUUUGCUGACGAGUGGCGGACGGGUGAGUAAUGUCUGGGAAACUGCCUGAUGGAGGGGGAUAACUACUGGAAACGGUAGCUAAUACCGCAUAACGUCGCAAGACCAAAGAGGGGGACCUUCGGGCCUCUUGCCAUCGGAUGUGCCCAGAUGGGAUUAGCUAGUAGGUGGGGUAAAGGCUCACCUAGGCGACGAUCCCUAGCUGGUCUGAGAGGAUGACCAGCCACACUGGAACUGAGACACGGUCCAGACUCCUACGGGGGGCAGCAGUGGGGAAUAUUGCACAAUGGGCGCAAGCCUGAUGCAGCCAUGCCGCGUGUAUGAAGAAGGCCUUCGGGUUGUAAAGUACUUUCAGCGGGGAGGAAGGGAGUAAAGUUAAUACCUUUGCUCAUUGACGUUACCCGCAGAAGAAGCACCGGCUAACUCCGUG